ACGGAGGGAGCUAGCGUUGUUCGGAAUUACUGGGCGUAAAGCGCACGUAGGCGGCGACUCAAGUCAGAGGUGAAAGCCCGGGGCUCAACUCCGGAACUGCCUUUAAGACUGCAUCGCUUGAAUCCGGGAGAGGUGAGUGGAAUUCCGAGUGUAGAGGUGAAAUUCGUAGAUAUUCGGAAGAACACCAGUGGCGAAGGCGGCUCACUGGACCGGUAUUGACGCUGAGGUGCGAAAGCGUGGGGAGCAAACAGGA
rnacentral:rRNA from 1 species